rnacentral:lncRNA from 1 species
AUAGGUCAUUUCCUGAUUUAAUUUUUUUAUCAUGUAGACCCAAUAAAUUUUUAGAGGCAUUUGUUAAAGUGCAAAGUAAGGGGCCCUCGCCCUUGAGAUUAAGAAGAUCAAAAUGUUUAAAUUGCAUGAAUAAUUUAACUCAGCAGCUCUAUUUUUCAUCGGUCUUCGCAUGCUCUGAAACCGACACUGUACAAUGUGCAUAAUGUAAUCUGUCUCACUGAAGAAUUGGUUCCCAACCGGUGAUCUAUUGGGCUCCGCGAGAUAUUACAUAAAUAAUAAGAUUACUUUGCGACUGAUUAUCAAAAAGGAAUUAUAUCUGGAACACCGAUGAUGCUUCAAUAUUCACCUCCACAGAAACGAGGGCCCUCCCUCUCCAUUUCUAACAACAUCGACGUUUUACGAAAUAAGCUCAGGAAGCAAGUGAAUCUUCGAAUGAGAAACCGAAGCAGGAAUCAAAUGAUACUUCAAAAUAAUAAUAUGUUACAAAAUUUAGGAAGGCGUAGAAGAAGAUAGGUCAUUAAUUGCAUGAAUGGUAAAAAAGAAUGAGUAUUUAUAAAUUAUAAUUAAUUAGUUAUAUGCCGGAUUAUGUAUUGUUUCAUUAUUAUUUUUCUAUUAUUUCUUUGCUUCGCCUCCACAUUUGAUUUAAAACUUUUAAAUGUUUGAUCAGAGUUGUUAAUGUAUACGGGAUCAUUAUGUUUUAUUAAUUAAUUAUUAGCUUAAUAAUAAUUAUAACAUUGAAUUUAUUAAAUGUUAUAUUAUAUAUAUUAUUUUUUUGUUCUCUCUUCCAUAUUAAUAAACGAAUGAGAAAACAUGAUUGAUAAUUAUGGGAAUAAUAAUGAAGAUGAGGGAAGAAUUGUUCGCACAUAAUUAUAUAAUUAUAACUCAUAUUGUAACACAUUUUUAGUUCUUACAUAUAUAUAUUUUUGAGGCAUUAUUAUCGCUAUUGCAUGGUUUAGAUUUGUUUCUCUUAAAAUAGAUAAUUAAUUCAUUAUUUAUACAAAACCUUAUUUUUGUUUAUUUAUAAAAUCUAUAUUUUAAAACAGGGCAUUUAUUAUAACUUUUUCAUUAUGUCUGUAUUAUAAUUAUCAUAUAAAAAUAAAUAAAUAUAAGUAUCUUAUUAUUAUAUGUAAUAAUGGCUGGCUCUCUCGAUCUCCAUUGUAUGUAAUUAAUUAAUUAUCCGUACCCAUUAAAGCUUAUGUUAUGUGUAAA